rnacentral:rRNA from 1 species
CAGCAGCCGCGGGAACACGAAGGGUGCAAGCGUUACUCGGAAUUACUGGGCGUAAAGCGUGCGUAGGUGGUGGUUUAAGUCCGUUGUGAAAGCCCUGGGCUCAACCUGGGAAUUGCAGUGGAUACUGGGUCACUAGAGUGUGGUAGAGGAUAGUGGAAUUUCCGGUGUAGCAGUGAAAUGCGUAGAGAUCGGAAGGAACAUCUGUGGCGAAGGCGACUAUCUGGGCCAACACUGACACUGAGGCACGAAAGCGUGGGGAGCAAACAGGAUUAGAUACCCCAGUAGUCCCUGUCUCUUAUAA